GUGUCAGCAGCCGCGGUAAUACGUGAGGGGCGAACGUUGUUCGGUGUCACUGGGCUUAAAGGGUGCGUAGGUGGUUGCGUAAGUAAGGUGUGAAAGCCCUCGGCUUACCCGGGGAAUUGCGCCUUAUACUGCGUGACUUGAGGAUUUCAGGGGAAUGGGGAACUCCAGGUGUAGCGGUGAAAUGCGCAGAUAUCUGGGGGAAGGCCGGCGGCGAAGGCGCCAUUCUGGGAAAUUCCUGACACUGAGGCACGAAAGCGUGGGGAGCAAACAGGAUUAGAUACCCUGGUAGUCCACGCCCUAAACGAUGGAUACUAAGUAGGGGACCCUGCAAGGGGUUCCUUGCCGGAGCAAAAGCGUUAAGUAUCCCGCCUGGGGAGUAUGGUCGCAAGGCUGAA
rnacentral:rRNA from 1 species